GAUGCCUUUAACCGGGUGUCGGGGGCGGACGGCACGUUUACUUUGAACAAAUUUGAGUGCUCAAAGCAGGCUUAUGCCUGAAAAUUCUUGCAUGGAAUAAUGGAAUAGGACUUCGGUUCUAUUUUGUUGGUUUUCGGAUCCGAAGUAAUGGUUAAGAGGGACAGACGGGGGCAUUUGUAUGGCGGUGUUAGAGGUGAAAUUCUUGGAUCGCCGCCAGACAAACUACAGCGAAAGCAUUUGCCAAGGAUGUUUUCAUUGAUCUGGAGCGAAAGUCAGAGGUU
rnacentral:rRNA from 1 species